rnacentral:rRNA from 1 species
UACAGAGGUCCCAAGCGUUGUUCGGAUUCACUGGGCGUAAAGGGUGCGUAGGUGGUUGGGUAAGUCUGAUGUGAAAUCUCCGAGCUCAACUCGGAAAUGGCAUUGGAAACUAUCUAACUAGAGAGUUGGAGGGGGGACUGGAAUACUUGGUGUAGCAGUGAAAUGCGUAGAUAUCAAGUGGAACACCAGUGGCGAAGGCGAGUCCCUGGACAACAUCUGACACUGAGGCACGAAAGCUAGGGGAGCAAACAGGAUUAGAUACCCCCGUAGUCC